GACGAACGCUGGCGGCGUGCCUAAUACAUGCAAGUAGAACGCUGAAGGAGGAGCUUGCUCUUCUGGAUGAGUUGCGAACGGGUGAGUAACGCGUAGGUAACCUGCCUGGUAGCGGGGGAUAACUAUUGGAAACGAUAGCUAAUACCGCAUAACAGUAGAUGUUGCAUGACAUUUACUUAAAAGGUGCAAUUGCAUCACUACCAGAUGGACCUGCGUUGUAUUAGCUAGUUGGUGGGGUAACGGCUCACCAAGGCGACGAUACAUAGCCGACCUGAGAGGGUGAUCGGCCACACUGGGACUGAGACACGGCCCAGACUCCUACGGGAGGCAGCAGUAGGGAAUCUUCGGCAAUGGACGGAAGUCUGACCGAGCAACGCCGCGUGAGUGAAGAAGGUUUUCGGAUCGUAAAGCUCGGUUGUAAGAGAAGAACGAGUGUGAGAGUGGAAAGUUCACAAUGUGACGGUAUCUUACCAGAAAGAGACGGCUAACUACGUG
rnacentral:rRNA from 1 species